rnacentral:rRNA from 1 species
CCUACGGGAGGCAGCAGUGAGGAAUAUUGGUCAAUGGCCGAGAGGCUGAACCAGCCAAGUCGCGUGAGGGAAGAAUGUCCUAUGGAUUGUAAACCUCUUUUGUCAGGGAGCAAAGUCACCCAAGUGUGGGUGUUGGAGAGUACCUGAAGAAAAAGGAUCGGCCAACUCCGGGACAGCAGCCGCGGUAAUACGGGGGAUGCAAGCGUUAUCCGGAUUUAUUGGGUUGAAAGGGUGGGUAGGGUGUGUGGUAAGUCAGCGGUGAAAUGCCUCCGCGCAAGGGGGUGAAGGGCCAUUGAUACUGCCGUGCUGGAAUGCGGAUGGGGUGGGCGGAAUGCGUGGGGUAGCGGUGAACUGCAUAGAUAUCACACAGAACACCGAUUGCGAAGGCAUCUCACGGAUCCGCGAUUGACGCUGAGGCACGAAAGCGUGGGUAUCAAACAGGAUUAGAUACCCGAGUAGUC